rnacentral:misc_RNA from 1 species
CACUUUGUCAAUCAAUGCAUCGAUUGUUACUGGGAGCUUUGAGCUCGUGGCUCAUGAUGCGAGCUUUCUUAAUGGAACUUCAGUAAACACGACGGGAUUGGCUGGGGAACCGCCACCGCAGGCGAGCGGACACCCUCCGGGGACAGGUGCGGGAGGAGGGCAUGGUGGGAGGGGAGCUUGUUGCUUAGUGGAUGAUAAGAAGCUACCGGAGGAUG